rnacentral:tRNA from 2 species
GGAAGGGUGGCAGAGUGGUCGAUUGCAGCGGUCUUGAAAACCGCCGAUGGGAAACCAUCCGUGGGUUCGAAUCCCACCCCUUCCGCCA